rnacentral:rRNA from 1 species
GUGGGGAAUAUUGCGCAAUGGGCGAAAGCCUGACGCAGCGACGCCGCGUGAGGGAUGAAGGUCUUCGGAUCGUAAACCUCUGUCAGCAGGGAAGAAAUUUAUGCGUGCUAAUCAGCGUGUAAUUGACGGUACCUGCAAAGGAAGCACCGGCUAACUCCGUGCCAGCAGCCGCGGUAAUACGGAGGGUGCGAGCGUUAAUCGGAAUUACUGGGCGUAAAGCGCUCGUAGGUGGCAUGCCAAGUCAAGGGUGAAAUCCCCGUGCUCAACAUGGGAACUGCCUUUGAAACUGGUAAGCUGGAGUGUGUGAGAGGAUAGUGGAAUUCCAGGUGUAGGAGUGAAAUCCGUAGAUAUCUGGAGGAACAUCAGUGGCGAAGGCGACUAUCUGGCACAUAACUGACACUGAGGAGCGAAAGCGUGGGUAGCAAACAGGAUUAGAAACCCUAGUAGUCC